rnacentral:rRNA from 1 species
UACAGAGGUCUCAAGCGUUGUUCGGAUUCAUUGGGCGUAAAGGGUGCGUAGGCGGCGCGGUAAGUCGGGUGUGAAAUCUUGGAGCUUAACUCCGAAACUGCAUUCGAUACUGCCGUGCUUGAGGACUGGAGAGGAGACUGGAAUUUACGGUGUAGCGGUGAAAUGCGUAGAUAUCGUAAGGAAGACCAGUGGCGAAGGCGGGUCUCUGGACAGUUCCUGACGCUGAGGCACGGAAGGUCAGGGGGAGCAAAACGGG